rnacentral:ncRNA from 1 species
UCGGUUCCGGUUCACCCCCGCCCGCCGAGGCGGGGGACCCGGCGACC